ensembl:lncRNA
AUGAUCCCUCUGUCAACAAUCUUACAAAAAACAAAUCUCGGCUACCAAACAUCUAAGAAUUCUCACAAAAUUUCACAUUUGAUGUACAUGGAUGACCUGAAGCUGUGUGGGAAAACGGAAACUGAAAUCCAAUCUCUGACCAACACUGUCCGAAUUUUUAGCACUGAUAUCAGCAUGGAGUUUGGUUUGGACAAAUGUUCGACAGUGGCAUUGAAGAAGGGAAAAAUCAUUGAAAGUGAGGGCAUAAAUAUGCCCAAUGGCCAAACAAUAAAGUGUCACCAUCCAGAGGCCUAUAAAUAUCUGGGCAUAUUACAGCUGGACAACAUCAAGCAUGAACAUGUGAAGACUGUGGUCAGUAAAGAAUACACACAAAGGGUCAGAAAAAUUCUCAAAAGCAAGCUCAAUGGAGGCAACACCAUCAAGGCCAUAAACACCUGGGCCAUACCUGUCAUAAGAUAUACUGCUGGCAUUAUAAAUUGGACACAGGCGGAACUGGACAAUUUGGACAGAAAAACAAGAAAACUCAUGACCAUUCAUCAUUCACUGCACCCUCGCAGUGAUGUUGACCGGCUGUAUCUGCCUAGAAGAUCAGGGGGCAGAGGACUCUUACAAGUAAAACAAGCAGUCAAAGAAGAAGAACAUGCCCUGGCAGAAUAUGUAAAACAAAGUGAAGAACCUGCUUUGAUUGAAGUCAAAAAUCAGAAACUCCUCAAAGCACAGCAGACAAAAAACCAGUACAAGAAAACCGCACUACAAACUAGAGCUGACAGCUGGCACAACAAAACACUACAUGGAAAGUUCCUUGACAAAAUUGAAGGAAAACCUGAUAAGGAGAAGACCUGGCUCUGGCUCACGAAUGGGACCCUGAAGAAGGAGACAGAAGGCCUGAUCCUUGCAGCCCAGGAGCAAGACAUCAGGACAAAGGCAAUUCAGGCCAAGAUCGAAAAAUCAGCUGAUGACCCAAAAUGCAGACUGUGCAAGGAAACCGACGAAACCAUUGAUCAUAUCCUCAGCUGCUGUAAGAAAAUUGCACAGACAGACUACAAACAGAGGCACAACUAUGUGGCCCAAAUGAUCCAUUGGAACUUAUGCCUCAAGUACCACCUCCCAGCAGCAAAGAACUGGUGGGAUCACAAACCUGCAAUAGUAUUGGAAAAUGAGCACGCAAAGAUACUGUGGGACUUCCGAAUCCAGACUGACAAAGUUCUGGAAUACAACACACCAGACAUCACAGUUGUAGAAAAGAAAAAGGUUGGGAUCAUUGAUGUUGCCAUCCCAGGUGACAAUCGCAUUGACGAAAAACAACAGGGAAAACUCAGC